CAGCAGCCGCGGGAAUACGAAGGGUGCAAGCGUUAAUCGGAAUUACUGGGCGUAAAGGGUGCGUAGGCGGUUUGUUAAGUCUGUCGUGAAAUCCCCGGGCUCAACCUGGGAAUGGCGAUGGAUACUGGCAAGCUAGAGUGUGUCAGAGGAUGGUGGAAUUUCCGGUGUAGCGGUGAAAUGCGUAGAGAUCGGAAGGAACAUCAGUGGCGAAGGCGGCCAUCUGGGACAACACUGACGCUGAAGCACGAAAGCGUGGGGAGCAAACAGGAUUAGAUACCCCUGUAGUCCCUGUCUCUUAUAC
rnacentral:rRNA from 1 species